rnacentral:misc_RNA from 1 species
GAGGCAAAUUUAGGGAAGAAAAUCAUUUGAAGCAUUACUGAUAAACCCCAAUUAUUAAUAUUAUAAACCCUAAUUAUCAAUUGUGGGAUUUUGUUGAAAUUUCAAAAAAAAAAAAAUGAGUUCUUUGACUACAACAUGGUGUCCAAAUUCUUUUCAGCUUCGGUUAGCGUUCAGAAGCAGAAAGCCUUCGGCAGUUUUUGCAGGAAUGCGUGUCGGCAAGCUGGAUUAUCGUGGGGUUCGUUUGGUUUCGAUUACUAUGAAUAGUGUGUCAAAUGGUGGAGUGGAAAAAACAAGUGCAGGAGGUGUAAAUUCGACUGCUUCAGCAGAUGGCUUCUCUGGAUGGUCUGGAGCUGAUGGUGCUGAGAAACCCAGUGACUCACAAGGGAAGAAGUCCAUCGCUGGGAUGGUGGGAGCAGGAGCAGCUGGUAUUAUCCUUGUGUCUGGCCUUACCUUUGCUGCAUUGUCAAUAAGCAGACGGAGUUCAACGGGAAUUAAACAACAGAUGGAGCCCUUAACAGCACAGGAAGAAAUGUCAAUUGAUUCUGACAAUCAUAAUGACACAGUUCAAGAGGAGAAAGCUUUAGGUGAUAAUGAAUUCAAAGAUAAUAGCGGUGAAGAGUUAGAGGCAGGUAGAAUUAGUGAGGACACUGAUGAUGGCAAUCCAACCAGUGUUGGUGUCUUUGUUGAUGAUAGUCAUGAGACCCAUAUUCAGCAUGAUUUGGAUGACGGGAAAGCUAGUGAUGAUGCAGUAGUUGCUAGUGAAGUCAUAUCUGAAUCCCCCGAAACAACCUUUGUCAUGUCAAGCUACGAAAGUGAGGAAGAUAGUCUUAUUGCUGGAAAACCAGAACCAACAACUGAACCAGAACAGAAGAACUAUAAUGAUGACGAAGUUGCUGCUGCAUCAGUUAUAAGUCCAAAUUCAACAUAUGAAUUUGAUAACGAGGUGCGAGUAUCUAGUUUGGAAGGACGAGGACACUCCGAAAUUUCAUUGGAAUCCCCUCCUAUUGAGCCUUCCAACCUCAACACUGCUGUUAAUCCGCAAUCAGAAGCACUUUUAGAACCCAUGAUUACACAAGAAGUGUAUGUAGAGACUCAAAGCUCAUUUUCCACCACCAAUGUUGACCCGAGUGAAAUGCUGGAGAUUCCAAGUGAUGGAGAUAAGUCAUCUUUUGAAGUGCAUAAGUCAAAUAGAGACGAAGUGCCUGGUACAGCUUCAGUUUCAACAACAGCUUAUGACCAUCUCCGAAACGAUUUUAAGGAUAUAAAUGCAAGCAGAUCAUCUAUAAACCCAACGGAUCUUGGUGAUGUCUUUACUUCUGCUGGUAUUCCGGCUCCAUCUACUAUUUCUCCAGCUCUGCAGGCACCUCCUGGAAGGGUUUUGGUUCCUGCUUCGUUUGAUCAAGUCCAAGGUCAAGCGCUCUCAGCAUUACAAGCUUUGAAGGUUAUUGAGUCUGAUGUUCAACCUGGAGAUCUUUGCACUCGGCGUGAAUAUGCUCGUUGGUUGGUCUCUGCUAGUAGUGCUCUAUCAAGAACCACUGUCUCAAAGGUCUACCCUGCAAUGUAUAUUGAGAAAGUCACUGACCUUGCCUUUGAUGAUAUUACUCCUGAGGAUCCAGACUUCCCGUCUAUACAAGGUUUAGCCGAAGCAGGGUUACUUUCCAGCAAACUCUCAAGACGUGACAUGCAGUCAUCUUUGGAUGAUGACCAAACUCCUGUCUUCUUCUGUCCUGAAAGUCCUUUAUCACGUCAAGAUCUUGUCAGCUGGAAGAUGGCGAUAGAGAAAAGACAGCUACCAAUUGUUGACCAAAAGUCUGUUCAGAGAGUCUCUGGGUUCAUAGAUGUUGACAAGAUUCAUCCAGAUGCAUGGCCUGCGGUGGUAGCUGACUUAUCAUCAGGUGAACAGGGAAUAAUGGCCCUUGCAUUCGGGUACACAAGACUCUUCCAACCAGAUAAACCUGUGACCAAAGCCCAAGCUGCUAUUGCCCUAGCAACCGGUGAAGCUUCUGAUAUCGUUGGUGAGGAACUUGCACGCAUUGAGGCUGAGUCGAUGGCUGACAAAGCUGUUUCAGCCCAUAAUGCUCUGGUAGCUGAAGUUGAGAAAGAUGUAAAUGCAAGUUUUGAGAAGGAACUCUUAUUGGAAAGGGAAAAGAUUGAAGCCGUGGAGAAGUUAGCUGAGGAAGCAAGAAGAGAGUUGGAGAGUUUGAGAGCUCAGCGGGAGGAAGAGAAUUUAGCAUUAAUGAAGGAACGUGCUGUUGUUGAUUCAGAAAUGGAAAUUCUUUCCAGAUUAAGACGUGAUGUAGAGGAGCAAUUACAGACCCUUGUGAGCGACAAAUUAGAGAUCACCUAUGACAAAGAGAGGAUUGAAAAGCUUAGGAAAGAUGCAGAAUUUGAAACCCAAGAGAUAGCACGUUUGCAGUAUGAGCUGGAGGUUGAGAGAAAAGCAUUAUCCUUGGCUAGGACUUGGGCAGAAGAUGAGGCUAAGAAGGCUAGAGAGCAAGCAAAAGCCUUGGAAGAGGCUAGAGACCGCUGGCAGAAGCAAGGCAUCAAAGUGGUAGUUGACAGUGACCUGCAAGAAGAAGCCAAUGCUGGAGUUACAUGGCAGAAUGCUGGAAAUGAGUCCGCUGAAUCAACUGUUAAUAGUGCUGAAACAUUAGUGGACAAGCUCAAGGAAAUGGCUGAUACAGUGAGAGGGAAAUCAAGAGAGACAAUUCAUAUGAUUAUUGAAAAAAUAAUGUUGCUGAUCACUAUGCUCAAGGAGUGGGCAUUAAAGGCAGGCAAGCAAACAGAGGAGUUAAAGGAUGCUGCCAUGUCAAAGAUGGGCAACUCAGUACAAGGAAUGCAGCAGAGCUCAGCUGAAGUUGGCUCGGCUCUCAAGGACGGUGUUAAGCGCUUUGCAGAUGACUGCAGGGGUGGAGUUGAGAAAAUCUCACAGAAAUUCAAGACAUGAACAUGGUGUUGUAUGAAAGACUGUUGUAUCCUUUUUUGCCUUUUUGGUCAAUAAAUUCACUGAUUGGAGCAGUCAAUUUUGGCCCAUAUAAGCUGGUGGACAUUGUCAUCCACCAGAAGAGAGGAAUAAAAGAAAACUCCGCGAGGUAUCGAUACCUUCCAUCAGCACAUUGAUUAUUUCAGCUUCUUAAUUGUACUACAUACAUGUUAAUGUUGGUACUGAACUUCUUAACUGUAUUUGCAUGAGUCCUAUAACAAAAGAAUGACUCCUCCUCCUCUGGACAAGACACACA